rnacentral:tRNA from 1 species
GGGGGUAUAGCUCAGUGGUAAGAGUGUAUGCUUAGCAUGCACCAAGCUCUGGGUUCCAUCCCAACACUGCCA